rnacentral:tRNA from 1 species
CCUGGUGGCUCAGAGGUUAAAGCAUCUGCCUGGAAUGCAGGAGACCCGGGUUCGGUCCCUGGGUCAGGA